GGGAGAGUCACGGAGACUGAUGACCUCUGUUUAAUGACAAAUAGGAACAACAUCAGGAGUAUCAGCAGAGCCUGCUCCUCACUGAUUAAACAACAUGCUCUGAGCCCAGCUGAGAUAGCUCAUUUGUAAGGGUGAGAGGUGAAUCCAGCUUUCAUGUCCAUUUAGUCUUUGAUAUGU
rnacentral:sRNA from 1 species